AAAUCUGAUAUUAUAUUAAUGUUGUUGGUGUUUGCAGCCGUAAAAAAUGGAGCUGUCUGUUCUGCACAAGCUUACAUUGCUAUCUUUGAAAGAAACUAUCUCAGCUGGUAUUCAGGGUUGUUUGCUUCAACUGCAGUCAUAUGAAUCACAAUUCAAUCAGUGGUCAAAUUCAACUAUAGAUUUCAUCGUUACCUGAACUUCAAGACUCGUGAAUUUAACAAAAAUUUCUUGCAAUUGUUCUCUGGAAGAAAAUUAAACUGGAGAAUCCUCUGUUUUUAUCAUGCACCUAACAGCUGCGGUGAUGUGAGAGUAAACAUUUACUCUUAAUUGCUGACAUCAGUUCUUAUCUCUUGUCCUUGCCGAAGUAAAAACUGUAAUUUCAACUUCUUAAGGAAAAGUCAAGCAAUUAACUAAAACGGUACUCAAUCACACAAAUGACUCCUUAAUCAGAAAAUCAUAUCAAUCUUUAAAGUCUUUAUCAAACAAGUUUAUUUACAUAUUGUACAGACCCAGAACAUAACUCUGCAAAUAUCAUAUGAACAUGCUCAUGAAACCAUACAGACACAUUUGAAGAGUCAUAUCUGGAUUAAAAUUAGGAGAUAAAAGAAGAAAAAUCAAACAGAGAAACCGUUAACUUCAACUGAUAAAUUAAUUAGUACCCUACCAGAGCAAGGAAGAAGCAGAAUAGCUCUUCACUGUCAGGGCCAGAAUAGCAGCUUCAGUUUAAUUUAAGUUUCAAAUUAAAACUUCUAAGCUCAUGGAACAGAGAAAUUAGAAAGAAUCAACAUAAUUAGACUGCAUCACAGGCCAUGAUUCCUUUCAUGAAAUACCACUGGAAUAGAAGCAUGAACUUAAAUCUGCUCUGUUUCCUAGUCCUGAUAUUUUGUAAAGCUCGUUAAUCGAGAUCGCCAUAUUCAACUUUAUAGCAACUCUCAUAGAUGUUAAGGGUAUUUUGAGCAUUUGAACUACUGGUGAUCUUUUGGAAGCUGUUUAGUGGGUAGUCCAAAAAUUGACAAACAAAAAAAUGUACCAGUGUAAUUCAACAGCUGCCGCUUCAACCAACAGUACAUCGGAGAAGCUCUCUUAAAGCCACGAUCAAGAAGGUUAAAGUCAGCAGACAUUACCAUUUUAUAAGGCGUGUUGACAAUGCAGUUGGAGUAAAUAUCAACAUUUUACACUACUGAAAACAUCCCCAACAUUAUUCACUACAAAUAGAGUACCCACUAUUUAAAAUAUUUUUGGAAUUUCAAAAUGUGCAAAUAUCUUUAAUCUCUAAUAUUUUUGCUACCAACCAUUAAUUGUCCAGACGUUUGAUCAGAAAUAUACCAUUUUAGUGCUUAUAACAACAGUUAGAAUACGAACCAGAAAAGCAAGAUCCUCAAAAAGCUUUUCAUGCAAGAAAAAUGCAACCAGGAGUGCAAAAUAUCAUAUCAUAUGUUCCCUUGUGCGCAUUUACAAAGUAUUUUGACAACUUAAAGCUUUGAUGGCAGGUUUCAUGGUUUCUAUAUAAUAGAGUGAUUUUCCAAACUGACAGGAGCCCCUCAUUUCCAUACAUUAAAAUCAACUGACUGAAGUGAUAUAUGACCAAGAUACAAAUCCUUUAGGUGCGUACACAACCCAAUUCCCCUUUUAUUCAAACUAGGAUGAAUUCAACUUGAGAACCUGUCUUCCAGCCUGGAAAUCUCUGCCUUUCCAUAACAUGACGAGUAUAAUAAACACUGGGUACUGCUUCUGAGCGCCCAAAAACUAAACAAUUGCAAGGCCAGGACUGGCUUACCAUUCUUGCUAGUGACAAUAAGCACAAGCCAUUAUUGUAAGGAAAUCUAUAAAUCAAUGCCUCAUUAGCAGUAAAUACUUCAGCUGUCUCAUCUGCCACUAGAGGGAAUCCUGUUCAGUUCUGAAUCAAACCGGUUUCCUAUUUCUUUUUCACGAAUUCGGUACUUUGCAGCUAGAGUACGAAUAUACCAUAUCCUAAGUUUAUUAGAAAUUAACUGUUUUAUCUCACUGAAGUUGUCACACUCUCUAUACCAUGCACACCUAUGCCGAACUACUCCUGCAAACCAGUCAAUGAUUUGGCUGUCAUCUUGUAAGAUGAGCAGAGAAUUCGUACAGAUGUAUCCUUCAGAUGUAAACAAUCCAUACCAUAACAGAUGCUUUUUUAUAGCAUUGACAGAAGCAACAGUUUCGGUAACGGGGACAGAUUUGGCGGAAGAACAUUAAUUUGGCAAAAGAGAGAGAGUAGCCACUGUUUCAGAAGAAACAUACUCUUCCACUUGCUUCUGAAAUUCAUAAAAGGAUUCUCUCAGUUCUUGAGGAAGGGCUGGUUCUGCAAUGUACUCAGAUAAGAUUAAUUCCUCACUUUCUGCUGCUUUGGCUUUAACGUCUUGCAUCCAUACUUUUAACAAGAAAUUGUACCACUAGUCAGUUUGCAUCCCAGCUUUACGAAAGCUAGAAAUUUGGCACAAAGCAGAAUCACUAGCGGCUAAAUGCUUGAUCUCUGAUCCUUUAACCUUCUUUAAACCAUGAGCCAAUCAUUUAUUCCCAAUUCUAACCGUCCCAGCAUCCCAAGCCUCUCAUUUCUGUAAAGCAUACAACUUGACCCUAUCCUUCUACUUGUGAAUAGCCUUUAUAGCAGGGCUCUCUUUCACUUGUCUUCUCGCCAAAGUGCCUACAAAGCAAACUCCAAAAUGCCCCUCACAUGGUAAUAUUUCUGUUCGAUUAUCAACAUUUAAGUGUAAAGAAUUCUGCAAAUAAUUUACAAUAUAAGACUUGAAGGCUUGAGCAAUUUCCCUAGAUUUAGAAACAGCGAGAAACAUCUCAUCCAUGAAACAGUAAGUGUGAACUCUUGGACCAGUCUUACUGUCAACCAUAUGAUUCAGAUCAUUGUCAUUUAUCUGUCUCCUGAACCAAAUGCACAGUAGCUAGGAAUGAGAUCCAUAUCCACCAACAUGAAAAUUUGGAGUGAUAGCCUUAUAUCUCUUAUUCUUGAUCACUCAAAGCCAACUAUGUUCAGGAUUUUUAGUUAUGCAUGAAAGAGUGCCCAGAAGCUUUACUCUAAUUCUUUAACUCACCAGACUCAGCUGAUAUAAAAGACUAAAUACAUCUCAAACAUUAUCAUAUUCAGGACUUUUACACAGUCCAAUGACGCAAUGCUUUUUAGUUUAAAAUAUGAACUAAAAAAUUCAUAAAAUAAUGUCAUUGCGGUAUAAAGCAAAGCAUAUGGAAAUGUACAAUGAUAAUGCCAUUGAAUUAAUUAAGAAGCUCUAAAGUCCCUAAUCAAUGUUGUGGAUUGAGGUAUCAUCUCGCAAUUCCCAACAAACGUUGACCACAUUUUAAAUGAUUAAUUAACCAAACUCAAUCUCGCAAUUCCCAACAUGAAAAUUUUAAACUCAGCCUCGCCCAAACCAUGAAAUUUAAGACAUAUAAGACUUUUACACAAUCCAUAACUGCAAUAAAGACAUAUAAGUUUACCCAAAACAGUCCUCAAUAUUGAAACAAUUGGAAUGAGCUUGUCGUUUGUUUUGCAAACUUUCAACAAACCCCAAAGCGCAUUGUUCUUUUCUUUUCGUGAAACCCCCCCCAAAACAAAAAAAAUUAUAAAGUUGUUCAAAUUUCAUUUACUGCAAAAUAGCUUCAACAAGAAAUGCAAACUCAUCGGUCCAAAACUUUGCUACUACAAACUCAUAUACAGAAUACUUCUUAUGCGUAUAUCCUUACGUACCAGCAAAAUGAUGUUCUGUCCAACUUCAAAACUGCAGCAAGAACAAAACACAUAUAACUGCUUCGCGGAGACAUUUAAACUAACAGGUGGCACGCACUACUCAUAUUAUGUUCACAUCGGAGAUUUGCUGUAAAAGAUAGCCCUUGAAUUUGAGUUCAUACCACUAUGUGAUUUUCUACAGAGAUAGAUAAAGUAAUUUUCCUCGUAUAAUUUGCUUAAGUUUUGGCAGCGAUUUUGCUUAAUAUUAUUAAAUUCAGCACUUUCUUCCGGUACUUCUGCAGCAGCAUAU
rnacentral:lncRNA from 1 species